UAUAUGUAUAUAUAUAUAAAUAUAUGUGUAUGUGUGACUCAUGCAGCUCUGUUGGGCUCAGCUGGCUGCUUUUAAUGGAAAAUCAGAGCAUUAGACACACACACACACCGCUCUCUCUCUCGAUUGGUCGUGGUAUUUCACAUAUUUCAGCUGUGUGUCAUCGCUCUGACACGCACGCACGCAAACGCACACACACACACUAUGAAAAACGUGGUCAUUCUCACAGCUCUGCAGAAAAGAUCAUUUUAAUAUUUAAUAUGAAUUACAGCCGUGUGUGUGUGUGAGGUAAAAAGCACUAAUACUGGUUUGAUGUUAAAGUAUUUUUUUUGCUGAUGAGGGAAUAUUGAACUGAAGCUGCUCUGGCUAAAUUAAAUCUCUUAAUUAAUGUGUGUGCGUGUGUGUGCAGCAGACUCAGUUUUUCCAUUCUUUUGCUGAAGUAAGGUUAUAUAGCUGCCACCUCUCAAUUAAUCUGUGUGUGUGUGUGUGUGUGUGUGUGUGUCUCAGUCUCAAAAACGCUGUUGAAAAGACAGAGGGACUUUAUGUCAGCUCGACUCGACUGCCACCAGAUAAUCUGACUCACGCAGUGACGUUACCCCCCUGUGUGUCUCAGGUGAGGGCAGCAGGUCGAUCAGGUUCAUUGCGUUGUUUCUCUGACUGCUUUUUGUUGGUUUCCAUAGAGACCUGCAGGCGCCAUGACAACACCAGUCUGCUCUGUGUGUGUGUGUGUGUGUGUGUGUGUGUGUGUGGCCUUGUUUUUCUGUGUAGUACUACUUGUACAACUAUUAGAUGUACAAAUACACAGUAUAUUGUUAUGCUACCUGUAGUAAUAUUAGCUGUACUUGUAGUACUAGCGGAGCAGGUAUUAGCAACACUAGCUGGGUUAGUCUCUGCUACAGUGCUGUGUGUUGUAAUGGAAAGGAUGAAUUGUGUUGUAGUAGUAUUUACUGUAAGUUAAUAUGUAGAAAAAUGAGCUGCAUUACACAUUUAAAUAUAAUAACACUUUAAUCACUAAAUACUAUCUAACAGCUGAUGUUACACCUGCUAAUUAAAUGUUAGCGAUAAGAUAAGAUUUAUUUAUCCUCAGGGAAAUGUACUAUUUGUUAAUCACUUCUUAUCUUAUCUUAUCUUGCUAGCAUUACAUCAGCUUGAUGCUAACGUAACAGUCGCUUAAUGCCAGCAUAACUUUAGCUUGAUGCUAGCAUAACUUUAGCUUAAUACUACCAUAAUGUUAGCUUCUUGCCAGCAAAACUUUAGCUUGAUGCUAACAUAAUGUUAGCUUGAUCCCAGCAUAAUGUUAGCUUAAUGCCAGCAUAAUGUUAGCUUGAUGCUAGCAUACCAUUAGCUUGAUGAUACCAUAACAUUAGCUUUCUGUCUCGUAGCUAAGCCGAAGGGUUCUCUGAGCUAAGUCGUCCGUCCUAUUUACUGGAGCAGUGACGUUCCAACGUUUCCAUUGCAUCAGAACAUUAUGGGAUGUACUGGUAUGAAGGAGACGAAUCUGGAGACCUCCCAGUGGACUUCUCCAUCGUCUGGGACGGAGACUUCUUCAUCGACAAGCCUUCAGCUAUGAAAGCGUUGCUGUAUAAGUGUGAAGCUCAGCGCUCCAGCUGUGGUCAGUGUCUCAAAGCUCCCACAGCCUUUGAAUGCGGCUGGUGCUCAGAGAGCAGGAAGUGUCUCCUGAGACAACAUUGUUCUUCAGCCGAGAGCAGCUGGAUGCACCACGGACGACACAACCUACGCUGUAGCCACCCACGAAUCACCAAGGUAGGGAAUCAAACCCACGCAUCACUAAGGUAGGGAAUCAAACCCACGAAUCACUAAGGUAGGGAAUCAAACCCACGAAUCAUUAAGGUAGAGAAUCAAACCCACGCAUCACUAAGGUAGAGAAUCAAACCCACGCAUCACUAAGGUAGGGAA